rnacentral:rRNA from 1 species
UGCAAGUCGAACGGUGAAGUGAGAGCUUGCUCUCGCGGAUCAGUGGCGAACGGGUGAGUAACACGUGAGUAACCUGCCCCAGACUCUGGGAUAACCUCGGGAAACCGAUGCUAAUACCGGAUACGAGACGAGAUCGCAUGGUCAUCGUCUGGAAAGAAUUUCGGUCUGGGAUGGACUCGCGGCCUAUCAGCUUGUUGGUGAGGUAAUGGCUCACCAAGGCGACGACGGGUAGCCGGCCUGAGAGGGCGACCGGCCACACUGGAACUGAGACACGGUCCAGACUCCUACGGGAGGCAGCAGUGGGGAAUAUUGCACAAUGGGCGCAAGCCUGAUGCAGCGACGCCGCGUGGGGGAUGAAGGCCUUCGGGUUGUAAACCCCUUUCAGCAGGGAAGAAGCGAAAGUGACGGUACCUGCAGAAGAAGCGCCGGCUAACUACGUGCCAGCAGCCGCGGUAAUACGUAGGGCGCAAGCGUUGUCCGGAAUUAUUGGGCGUAAAGAGCUCGUAGGCGGUUUGUCGCGUCUGCUGUGAAAUCCCGAGGCUCAACCUCGGGACUGCAGUGGGUACGGGCAGACUAGAGUGUGGUAGGGGAGACUGGAAUUCCUGGUGUAGCGGUGGAAUGCGCAGAUAUCAGGAGGAACACCAAUGGCGAAGGCAGGUCUCUGGGCCACUACUGACGCUGAGGAGCGAAAGCAUGGGGAGCGAACAGGAUUAGAUACCCUGGUA